rnacentral:rRNA from 1 species
UUGUUGGUAAGGUAAAAGCUUACCAAGGCUUCGAUCAGUAGCUGGUCUGAGAGGACGACCAGCCACACUGGGACUGAGACACGGCCCAGACUCCUACGGGAGGCAGCAGUGGGGAAUUUUGGACAAUGGGGGCAACCCUGAUCCAGCCAUGCCGCGUGAGUGAAGAAGGCYUUCGGGUUGUAAAGCUCUUUCAGCCGGAACGAAACGGUUACGGAUAACACCCGUGACUACUGACGGUACCGGAAGAAGAAGCACCGGCUAACUACGUGCCAGCAGCCGCGGUAAUACGUAGGGUGCGAGCGUUAAUCGGAAUUACUGGGCGUAAAGCGUGCGCAGGUGGUUUUGUAAGUCAGAUGUGAAAGCCCCGGGCUCAACCUGGGAACUGCGUUUGAAACUACAAGACUAGAGUGUGGCAGAGGGGGGUGGAAUUCCGCGUGUAGCAGUGAAAUGCGUAGAGAUGUGGAGGAACACCGAUGGCGAAGGCAGCCCCCUGGGUCAACACUGACGCUCAGGCACGAAAGCAUGGGGAGCAAACAGGAUUAGAUACCCUGGUAGUCCAUGCCCUAAACGAUGUCAACUAGUUGUCGGGCCUUUACGGGCUUGGUAACGUAGCUAACGCGUGAAGUUGACCGCCUGGGGAGUACGAUCGCAAGAUUAAAACUCAAAUGAAUUGACGGGGACCCGCACAAGCGGUGGAUUAUGUGGAUUAAUUCGAUGCAACGCGAAAAGCCUUACCUACCCUUGACAUGUAUCGAAGCCCGCAGAAAAGCGGGGGUGCCCGAAAGGGAACGAUAACACAGGUGCUGCAUGGCUGUCGUCAGCUCGUGUCGUGAGAUGUUGGGUUAAGUCCCGCAACGAGCGCAACCCUUGUCAUUAAUUGCCAUCAUUUAGUUGGGCACUUUAAUGAGACUGCCGG